AACGAACGCUGGCGGCGCGUCUUAAGCAUGCAAGUCGAACGGCAAGAUUGGUGCUUGCACCGAUCCUAGAGUGGCGGACUGGUGAGUAACGCGUGGGUGACGUACCCUAAGGAUGGGGAUAGCUGGUAGAAAUAUCAGAUAAUACCGAAUAUCCUUAUUGUUGUUAGAGGACAGUAAGGAAAGGAGCUUUGGCUUCGCCUAAGGAUCGGCCCGCGUACUAUUAGCUAGUUGGUGAGGUAACGGCUCACCAAGGCGACGAUAGUUAUCCGGCCUAAGAGGGUGAACGGACACAUUGGGACUGAGAUACGGCCCAGACUCCUACGGGAGGCAGCAGCUAAGAAUAUUCCGCAAUGGAGGAAACUCUGACGGAGCGACGCCGCGUGGAUGAUGAAGGCCGGAAGGUUGUAAAAUCCUUUUAAGCAAGAAGAA
rnacentral:rRNA from 1 species